rnacentral:rRNA from 1 species
AACGAACGCUGGCGGCAUGCCUAACACAUGCAAGUCGAACGAGACCUUCGGGUCUAGUGGCGCACGGGUGCGUAACGCGUGGGAACCUGCCCUUAGGUUCGGAAUAACUCCCCGAAAGGGGUGCUAAUACCGGAUAGUGUCUUCGGACCAAAGAUUUAUCGCCUUUGGGUGGGCCCGCGUUGGAUUAGCUAGUUGGUAGGGUAAAAGCCUACCAAGGCGACGAUCCAUAGCUGGUCUGAGAGGAUGAUCAGCCACACUGGGACUGCGACACGGCCCAGACUCCUACGGGAGGCAGCAGUGGGGAAUAUUGGACAAUGGGCGAAAGCGUGAUCCAGCAAUGCCGCGUGAGUGAUGAAGGCCUUAGGGUUGUAAAGCUCUUUUACCCGGGAUGAUAAUGACAGUACCGGGAGAAUAAGCUCCGGCUAACUCCGUG